GAUGAAGAACGCAGCGAAAUGCGAUACUUGGUGUGAAUUGCAGAAUCCCGUGAACCAUCGAGUUUUUGAACGCAAGUUGCGCCCGAAGCCAUUAGGCCGAGGGCACGCCUGCCUGGGCGUCACACGUCGUUGCCCACCCAUCUACUCCUUCGGGAUUGCGGGGGGCGGAUGAUGGCCUCCCGUGCGCCUCGCCGCGCGGUUGGCAUAAAUGCCAAGUCCUCGGCGACGCACGCCACGACAAUCGGUGGUUGCGAAACCUCGGUUGCCCGUCGUGUGCGGUCGCCGCGCAUCGAGGGCUCGAAAAAAUUGCCGGGUUCCGGCUCGGCUUUCAACGCGACCCCAGGUCAGGCGGGGUUACCCGCUGAAUUUAAGCAUAUCAAUAAGCGGAGGA
rnacentral:misc_RNA from 1 species